rnacentral:rRNA from 1 species
UACGGGGGGGGCAAGCGUUGUUCGGAAUUACUGGGCGUAAAGGGCUCGUAGGCGGCCAACUAAGUCAGACGUGAAAUCCCUCGGCUUAACCGGGGAACUGCGUCUGAUACUGGAUGGCUUGAGUUUGGGAGAGGGAUGGCGGAAUUCCAGGUGUAGCGGUGAAAUGCGUAGAUAUCUGGAGGAACACCGGUGGCGAAGGCGGCGAUCCCUGGACCAACACUGACGCUGAGGAGCGAAAGCCAGGGGAG